rnacentral:rRNA from 1 species
UACGUAGGGCGCAAGCGUUAUCCGGAAUUAUUGGGCGUAAAGAGCUCGUAGGCGGUUUGUCGCGUCUGCCGUGAAAGUCCGGGGCUCAACUCCGGAUCUGCGGUGGGUACGGGCAGACUAGAGUGAUGUAGGGGGAGACUGGAAUUCCUGGUGUAGCGGUGAAAAUGCGCAGAUAUCAGGAGGAACACCGAUGGCGAAGGCAGGUCUCUGGGCAUUAACUGACGCUGAGGAGCGGAAAGCAUGGGGAGCGAACAGG